rnacentral:misc_RNA from 1 species
GCGGCAAGGGUAGGAAAUUACCUCCCUGGACAUCUGAAUUUGUUGGCCUCUUUAUCUGGUGGGCCAGGAAGUUCAGGGCGAAGAGAGGAGGAUCCUCGUUGAGAUUGGACAUACGAAUGUGAUGACGACGCUGGUUUCAGUGGUGGCGGUGGUGUUUUAUGGUAUAUAUAUUAAUAGCAUGAGUAUGUGAAUUUGUUGCAUUUUGUUUGUGUGUGAAGAGGAAUGGUGAGCAUGUUACUGAAAUUAGGGGUAACGUCUUUAGGGUUUGUCUUUGUUUUGGGAGAAAAUUCAACUAUGAUUGAAUGUAUGGAUUCAAUUAGUGAGUAGUUUUGUUUGAAGAUUAAUUAGGGUUUCCUUAGGGUUUGAAAUUGCUUAGCUUCUUUAUUUUUGGGGUGUAGGACAAGAGGGGGCGAAAAAUGAUUGGAGUUCUUGUUAUGGGAAGGAAUUAAGGAAUUGGGUUGAUGAGUUGUAGUGCUCAGAGCAAGAAUUUGGUUGGUCAACAAUUACUUGUUGGGGUAAGCUUAGAAGGUUUCUUUCCCAUGUUAUGGCAUGCUUGCUAAUUCGGGUUUGAAGUAUCGUUGGAGUGCAAGGGCUUGGUUCAUAAUUCUCUUUUGUUGAUCACAAAGAAAAGCUAGCUUAUUUGCUCUGCUGCAAUCUGGGUUCUUGUAACCAGAAGAUCCAGAUGAUUAUUUUGAUGAUUCUGUUGUGAUUCUCCACUGUGCCUACAGAUUGUUUUCUUGCUCUCUCUCCCUAUUUCAGAGUUUGUGUUGGUGUACUGAUCUCAAAGGAGACUGGUGUGUGUGUGGGAAAAAGCUCUGGUGCCUCUCUGUAAGACCUCUGUUUUGAAACUUCUUUUUUACUGGAAUUCUUAGCCAUUUCUGUUGGAAACUUUUACCAGUAUUAUUCUUAGUCAUUUCUUAGAUUAAUUAGCGUGAAAAAUAAUGCGUUCCAUGUAUCUACAUAACUGGAUUGUUUCUUUUCUUUUUUUG